rnacentral:snRNA from 1 species
GGAUGGGAGGGCAAUCCGGCUGUGAUUCUGCCACCCCAUUGAUCACCAGUGUUGAGUCAGCUGAUCUGGCUGGUUAGGUGGGUGUCCCCUUUCUCCCUCACUGCUCCAUGUGCAUUCCUCCCAAAGCUGUGUACUCAGUUGAAGAGGACUACUUUCCACAAUAGAGGAGGACCAUUCUUUAGUCAAGGGUAUAUGAAUAGCUGUGCUCUCCUGCUAGAACCUCUAAACACACUCCCAAGGUCAAAGCCCUUUACCAUAGGGUGACUUCUGGAGUUAUGAGCUUUCUAUGCAAAUACAUCUGCCUCCACAUGCCUUUCUCAAUCAAGAAGUUGCACCUGU